rnacentral:rRNA from 1 species
CCUACGGGAGGCAGCAGUGGGGAAUAUUGGGCAAUGGAGGAAACUCUGACCCAGCGACGCCGCGUGAGGGAUGAAGGCCUUCGGGUUGUAAACCUCUUUCAGCAGGGAAUAAGCGAUAGUGAAGGUACCUGCAGAAGAAGCACCGGCUAACUAUGUGCCAGCAGCCGCGGUAAUACAUAGGGUGCAAGCGUUGUCCGGAAUUAUUGGGCGUAAAGAGCUCGUAGGUGGUCGAUCACGUCGGAUGUGAAAUUCUGAGGCUUAACCUCGGACCUGCAUUCGAUACGGGUUGACUAGAGUGUGGUAGGGGAGACUGGAAUUCCUGGUGUAGCGGUGGAAUGCGCAGAUAUCAGGAGGAACACCGAUGGCGAAGGCAGGUCUCUGGGCCAUUACUGACACUGAGGAGCGAAAGCGUGGGGAGCGAACAGGAUUAGAUACCCUGGUAGUCCACGCCGUAAACGGUGGGCGCUAGUUGUGGGAACCUUCCACGGUUUCUGCGACGCAGCUAACGCAUUAAGCGCCCCGCCUGGGGAGUACGGUCGCAAGACUAAAACUCAAAGGAAUUGACGG